AGCGAACGCUGGCGGCAGGCCUAACACAUGCCAGUCGAACGAACCUUUCGGGGUUAGUGGCGGACGGGUGAGUAACACGUGGGAACGUGCCUUUAGGUUCGGAAUAACUCAGGGAAACUUGUGCUAAUACCGAAUGUGCCCUUCGGGGGAAAGAUUAAUCGCCUUUAGAGCGGCCCGCGUCUGAUUAGCUAGUUGGUUGAGGUAAUGGCUCACCAAGGCGACGAUCAGUAGCUGGUCUGAGAGGAUGAUCAGCCACAUUGGGACUGAGAAACGGCCCAGACGCCUGAGGGAGGCAGCAGGGGGGAAUUGGGGACAAGGGGCGAAAGCCUGAUCCAGCAAAGCCGCGUGUGUGAAGAAGGUCUUCGGGUUGUAAAGCACUGGGGUCAGGAAAGAAAGCAUGGGCACGAAUACGGUCGGGGGAUGACGGUACCGGAAGAAUAAGCACCGGCGAAAUACGUG
rnacentral:rRNA from 1 species